rnacentral:rRNA from 1 species
UACGUAGGGUGCAAGCGUUAUCCGAAAUUAUUGGGCGUAAAGAGCUCGUAGGCGGUUUGUCGCGUCUGCUGUGAAAACCCGAGGCUCAACCUCGGGCCUGCAGUGGGUACGGGCAGACUAGAGUGCGGUAGGGGAGAAUGGAAUUCCUGGUGUAGCGGUGGAAUGCGCAGAUAUCAGGAGGAACACCGAUGGCGAAGGCAGUUCUCUGGGCCGUAACUGACGCUGAGGAGCGAAAGCGUGGGGAGCGAACAGG